CAUCAAAUAGCUUAAAGUAAGCAAAAGCCUCUUAAGCUUAGUAAUAUCGAUUGACGCUCGGUUUUGAUG
rnacentral:tRNA from 1 species